rnacentral:rRNA from 1 species
UGAGCCAAGUUUAGGGUUUUCUCAAAACCCAAGCAGUAUUGAACUGAAGAGUUUGAUCAUGGCUCAGAUUGAACGCUGGCGGCAGGCCUAACACAUGCAAGUCGAGCGGAUGAAGAGAGCUUGCUCUCUGAUUCAGCGGCGGACGGGUGAGUAAUGCCUAGGAAUCUGCCUGAUAGUGGGGGACAACGUUUCGAAAGGAACGCUA